rnacentral:rRNA from 1 species
UACGUAGGGGGCAAGCGUUGUCCGGAUUUAUUGGGCGUAAAGAGCGUGUAGGCGGCCUGACAAGUCUGCUGUGAAAACUCGAGGCUCAACCUCGAGAUGUCGGCGGAAACUGUCUGGCUAGAGUCCGGAAGAGGAGAGUGGAAUUCCUGGUGUAGCGGUGAAAUGCGCAGAUAUCAGGAGGAACACCAAUAGCGAAGGCAGCUCGCUGGGACGGUACUGACGCUGAGACGCGAAAGCGUGGGGAGCGAACAGG